rnacentral:tRNA from 1 species
GAUAAGGUGGCUGAGGGUUAGGCAAUAGAUUGUAAAUCUAUUUACGAGAGUAAAUCUCUCUUAUCA